rfam:Bombyx mori DNA, contig: Bm_scaf68_contig30450, strain: p50T/Dazao, build 2, whole genome shotgun sequence.
UAUCUCUGGUUUCCCUUCAACACGUAUUAAUCUUUCGCCUUUUACUAAAGAUUUCCGUGGAGGGGAACACUCAAAUGAGUCUAUAAUAUUUAUGAUGCCUUGUGAGGCU